GGCUUCUCUCCAGGUGGGUGUCAGCCUCGCCAGAAUCUCUGCCGCCACCGCCGCCAUCCUCGCUGCCUCCCCUCUGGCAGGGCUCGCUCACCCAGUGGCAGGCUAAGUGGAGUCUGACGGCUGGCGGCUAACCGGUGGCACCCCAGGCCCAGCAUGCACUCUGCCUCCCGCUGUUUGCAGGCGGUCUCUGCCUGCCUGGUGUGCACCGAGGGCUACGAUGCGGGCAGGCGUCGGCCAAAGUUGCUGCAGUGCGGACUAGGGAUGUCACGAGAACCGAUACUUGCGAUACCUUUCGGUACUAAAAUAACAAAGAACCGACGAUACCCAUUUUUUUGAAGUACCUGCGGACACACCUUCUGUCUGAGCUGCCUGAGCGAGACAGCGCGCCGUCCGCCCGCACCAAACCGUGGAGCUCUUCAACAGCCGGGUCGGGGUCGGGGAUGCUGCCGAGAAGUGACGCUGCUCCCAGACCCACACAAUGCCGCCACACACCUGGCCGACAACUUUGCCAUUGUGGAGUUCAUCACGGACGAUCACAGCGCGACCGAGCCGGAGGCUCACUGUGUCAAACAUCCAGACGAAAGGGAGAAAUAUUUCUGCGUGUCCUUCUACAGGCUGCUUUGCCCUUGCUGUGCUCUUGAGCAUGCAUCUCAGACUCCAUCGCACAGCGUCCAGGCUGUGGAGUCGGCUGCAGGCCACUUCAGACAGAGGCUCCGCGCCGCUCUGGGUUACUGCAGGGAGAGACGGGCGCUGCUCGACCGCGCUCUGCGAGACGCAGCCGAGGAGCGGCGGCGGAUCGGCGCUCUCCUCUAGUCGCUGGAGCACCUGACGGGAAACGUGUGCGACGCUGAGCUGCUGUCUCAGAGGCACACCCUGAUGGGGCUCCAGGAUCCUCAUCUCUCCCCACCCAAAACACAGAAGCCCUCAUCACCUCUCAGACUCAGCCCCUGACAGCUCAGUUCCCAACCACAUCCCCUCUCUCCCCCUCUCUCUCUCUCUCUCUC
ensembl:lncRNA